rnacentral:rRNA from 1 species
GAUGAACGCUGGCGGCGUGCCUAAUACAUGCAAGUCGAGCGAACAGACGAGGAGCUUGCUCCUCUGACGUUAGCGGCGGACGGGUGAGUAACACGUGGAUAACCUACCUAUAAGACUGGGAUAACUUCGGGAAACCGGAGCUAAUACCGGAUAAUAUAUUGAACCGCAUGGGUCAAUAGUGAAAGACGGUUUUGCGGUCACUUAUAGAUGGAUCCGCGCCGCAUUAGCUAGUUGGUAAGGUAACGGCUUACCAAGUCAACGAUGCGUAGCCGACCUGAGAGGGUGAUCGGCCACACUGGAACUGAGACACGGUCCAGACUCCUACGGGCGGCAGCAGUAGGGAAUCUUCCGCAAUGGGCGAAAGCCUGACGGAGCAACGCCGCGUGAGUGAUGAAGGUCUUCGGAUCGUAAAACUCUGUUAUUAGGGAAGAACAAAUGUGUAAGUAACUAUGCACGUCUUGACGGUACCUAAUAAGAAAGCCACGGCUAACUACGUG